GAUGAAGAACGCAGCGAAAUGCGAUAAGUAAUGUGAAUUGCAGAAUUCAGUGAAUCAUCGAAUCUUUGAACGCACAUUGCGCCCGUCAGUAUUCUGGCGGGCAUGCCUGUUCGAGCGUCAUUACGCCCCUCAAGUCCCCUGUGGACUUGGUGUUGGGGAUCGGCGAGGCUGGUUUUCCAGCACAGCCGUCCCUUAAAUUAAUUGGCGGUCUCGCCGUGGCCCUCCUCUGCGCAGUAGUAAAACACUCGCAACAGGAUCCCGGCGCGGUCCACUGCCGUAAAACCCCCCAACUUUUUAUAGUUGACCUCGAAUCAGGUAGGACUACCCGCUGAACUUAAGCAUAUCAAUAAGCGGAGGA
rnacentral:misc_RNA from 1 species